rnacentral:rRNA from 1 species
CCUGGGAUAACCCCGGGAAACUGGGAAUAAUACCGGAUAUAUCGCGAAUGCUGGAAUGCGUCGCGAUAGAAAGCUCCGGCGCCUAAGGAUGGGUCUGCGGCCUAUCAGGGUAGUAGUGGGUGUAACGUACCUACUAGCCUACGACGGGUACGGGUUGUGAGAGCAAGAGCCCGGAGAUGGAUUCUGAGACACGAAUCCAGGCCCUACGGGGUGCAGCAGGCGCGAAAACUUUACAAUGCUGGAAACAGCGAUAAGGGGACCUCGAGUGCCAGGAUACAAUCCUGGCUGUCGUAAUGCCUAAAAAGCAUUGCAUAGCAAGGGCCGGGCAAGACCGGUGCCAGCCGCCGCGGUAACACCGGCGGCUCGAGUGGUAACCGCUAUUAUUGGGUCUAAAGGGUCUGUAGCCGGCUGAAUAAGUCUCUUGGGAAAUCUGGCAGCUUAACUGUCAGGCUUUCAGGAGAUACUGUUCGGCUCGAGACCGGGAGAGGUGAGAGGUACCUCAGGGGUAGGGGUGAAAUCUUGUAAUCCUUGAGGGACCACCAGUGGCGAAGGCGUCUCACCAGAACGGAUCUGACGGCAAGGGACGAAAGCUAGGGGCACGAACCGGAUUAGAUACCCGGGUAGUCCUAGCCGUAAACGAUACUCGCUAGGUGUCGGCCACGGUGCGACCGUGGUCGGUGCCGUAGGGAAGCCGUGAAGCGAGCCACCUGGGAAGUACGGCCGCAAGGCUGAAACUUAAAGGAAUAGGCGGGGGAGCA